UGGCGACCAUAGCGUUAUGGACCCACCUGAUCCCAUGCCGAACUCAGAAGUGAAACGUAAUAGCGCCGAUGGUAGUGUGGGGUCUCCCCAUGUGAGAGUAGGACAUCGCCAGGC
rnacentral:rRNA from 1 species